rnacentral:rRNA from 1 species
GGUUAAGCGACUAAGCGUACACGGUGGAUGCCCUGGCAGUCAGAGGCGAUGAAGGACGUGCUAAUCUGCGAAAAGCGUCGGUAAGGUGAUAUGAACCGUUACAGCCGGCGAUGUCCGAAUGGGGAAACCCAGUGCAAUUCGUUGCACUAUCGUUUGAUGAAUACAUAGUCAAACGAGGCGAACCGGGGGAACUGAAACAUCUAAGUACCCCGAGGAAAAGAAAUCAACCGAGAUUCCCCCAGUAGCGGCGAGCGAACGGGGAGCAGCCCGGAGUCUGAAUCAGCUUGUGUGUUAGUGGAAGCGUCUGGAAAGUCGCAGGGUACAGGGUGAUACUCCCGUACACUAAAACGCACAGGCUGUGAACUCGAAGAGUAGGGCGGGACACGUGGUAUCCUGUCUGAAUAUGGGGGGACCAUCCUCCAAGGCUAAAUACUCCUGACUGACCGAUAGUGAACCAGUACCGUGAGGGAAAGGCGAAAAGAACCCCGGCGAGGGGAGUGAAAAAGAACCUGAAACCGUGUACGUACAAGCAGUAGGAGCCCACUUGUUGGGUGACUGCGUACCUUUUGUAUAAUGGGUCAGCGACUUAUAUUCUGUAGCAAGGUUAACCGUAUAGGGGAGCCGCAGGGAAACCGAGUCUUAACUGGGCGUUAAGUUGCAGGGUAUAGACCCGAAACCCGGUGAUCUAGCCAUGGGCAGGUUGAAGGUUGGGUAACACUAACUGGAGGACCGAACCGACUAAUGUUGAAAAAUUAGCGGAUGACUUGUGGCUGGGGGUGAAAGGCCAAUCAAACCGGGAGAUAGCUGGUUCUCCCCGAAAGCUAUUUAGGUAGCGCCUCGUGAACUCAUCUUCGGGGGUAGAGCACUGUUUCGGCUAGGGGGUCAUCCCGACUUACCAACCCGAUGCAAACUACGAAUACCGAAGAAUGUUAUCACGGGAGACACACGGCGGGUGCUAACGUCCGUCGUGAAGAGGGAAACAACCCAGACCGCCAGCUAAGGUCCCAAAGUCAUGGUUAAGUGGGAAACGAUGUGGGAAGGCCCAGACAGCCAGGAUGUUGGCUUAGAAGCAGCCAUCAUUUAAAGAAAGCGUAAUAGCUCACUGGUCGAGUCGGCCUGCGCGGAAGAUGUAACGGGGCUAAACCAUGCACCGAAGCUGCGGCAGCGACGCUUAUGCGUUGUUGGGUAGGGGAGCGUUCUGUAAGCCGUUGAAGGUGGCCUGUGAGGGUUGCUGGAGGUAUCAGAAGUGCGAAUGCUGACAUAAGUAACGAUAAUGCGGGUGAAAAACCCGCACGCCGGAAGACCAAGGGUUCCUGUCCAACGUUAAUCGGGGCAGGGUGAGUCGACCCCUAAGGCGAGGCCGAAAGGCGUAGUCGAUGGGAAACAGGUUAAUAUUCCUGUACUUGGUGUUACUGCGAAGGGGGGACGGAGAAGGCUAUGUUGGCCGGGCGACGGUUGUCCCGGUUUAAGCGUGUAGGUGUGUGUUCCAGGUAAAUCCGGUUCACUUUAACACUGAGGCGUGAUGACGAGGCACUACGGUGCUGAAGUGACAAAUGCCCUGCUUCCAGGAAAAGCCUCUAAGCAUCAGGUAACAUCAAAUCGUACCCCAAACCGACACAGGUGGUCAGGUAGAGAAUACCAAGGCGCUUGAGAGAACUCGGGUGAAGGAACUAGGCAAAAUGGUGCCGUAACUUCGGGAGAAGGCACGCUGAUAUGUAGGUGAAGUGGUUUACCCAUGGAGCUGAAAUCAGUCGAAGAUACCAGCUGGCUGCAACUGUUUAUUAAAAACACAGCACUGUGCAAACACGAAAGUGGACGUAUACGGUGUGACGCCUGCCCGGUGCCGGAAGGUUAAUUGAUGGGGUUAUCCGUAAGGAGAAGCUCUUGAUCGAAGCCCCGGUAAACGGCGGCCGUAACUAUAACGGUCCUAAGGUAGCGAAAUUCCUUGUCGGGUAAGUUCCGACCUGCACGAAUGGCGUAAUGAUGGCCAGGCUGUCUCCACCCGAGACUCAGUGAAAUUGAACUCGCUGUGAAGAUGCAGUGUACCCGCGGCAAGACGGAAAGACCCCGUGAACCUUUACUAUAGCUUGACACUGAACACUGGUCCUUGAUGUGUAGGAUAGGUGGGAGGCUUUGAAGUGUGGACGCCAGUCUGCAUGGAGCCAUCCUUGAAAUACCACCCUUUAAUGGCUGGUGUUCUAACGUGGGCCCGUAAUCCGGGUUGCGGACAGUGUCUGGUGGGUAGUUUGACUGGGGCGGUCUCCUCCUAAAGAGUAACGGAGGAGCACGAAGGUCAGCUAAUCCUGGUCGGACAUCAGGAGGUUAGUGCAAUGGCAUAAGCUGGCUUGACUGCGAGCGUGACGGCGCGAGCAGGUGCGAAAGCAGGUCAUAGUGAUCCGGUGGUUCUGAAUGGAAGGGCCAUCGCUCAACGGAUAAAAGGUACUCCGGGGAUAACAGGCUGAUACCGCCCAAGAGUUCAUAUCGACGGCGGUGUUUGGCACCUCGAUGUCGGCUCAUCACAUCCUGGGGCUGAAGUAGGUCCCAAGGGUAUGGCUGUUCGCCAUUUAAAGUGGUACGCGAGCUGGGUUUAGAACGUCGUGAGACAGUUCGGUCCCUAUCUGCCGUGGGCGCUGGAGAAUUGAGGGGGGCUGCUCCUAGUACGAGAGGACCGGAGUGGACGCAUCACUGGUGUUCGGGUUGUCAUGCCAAUGGCAUUGCCCGGUAGCUAAAUGCGGAAGAGAUAAGUGCUGAAAGCAUCUAAGUACGAAACUUGCCCCGAGAUGAGUUCUCCCUGACUCCUUGAGAGUCCUGAAGGAACGUUGAAGACGACGACGUUGAUAGGCCGGGUGUGUAAGCGCAGCGAUGCGUUGAGCUAACCGGUACUAAUGAACCGUGAGGCUUAACCUU